rnacentral:lncRNA from 1 species
GUGCCCUGUGGGAAUUGCUGGUGUCAGCGAAACGGGGCACUGGGGAGAGCUGGCCUCCCAAGGAGGACCAGGGCUCAGUGCCCUGCAUCAGGCAGGAGCCUGUGGGCCACAGAGCAUUGGGGGGUGCUGUUUGGGACCGUGGGCUGAGCCGGCAUAUAAUCUGGAGAGUCUUCUGCAUCGAAAAGGUAUUUAGAGCCCUGACCCUGGAUAGGGUAACCCAGAGUGGACAGGGAUUGGGAGGGGCAUCAGGGCCAAGGCUGGGCCCCUCGCUAGAAUGGGGACCCCAGGGACUAACUAGGAGGAAAAAUGGGAGUGGGAGGCUGAGGGCUGUCCAUCCAGUCUGGCCAGUGGAGGUCUCUGGAAGGAACACUGUUGGCAGGGGCUGGAGCCACGGGGACCGGCUGAGUCAGGGCUGCAAACCUGAUCUGAAGUUUUUUUCCCAGAGUAUCCAAGAAAUGGGACGGUGGCGGGGUGGGGAAAUGAGAUAGAGAAAACUUUUGUUAAACAUUUUAAGAUAUUUAAGAAAUGUGAUACCACACAGGAAGGAAGAUGGAAGACAACCUGAGGGAACUGUCUGGCCCAAGGGGCAGCCGACAAUGGAGUCCUGGAGAUGGGCAUGCCCCCCCCCACCCCCCGCCCGGAGGCCUUCUCCUCACCCACCCCAGAUCAAUGAAGUUCCCUGGAGCACCCCGGGGUUUGGGAUGAGCCCCAUGGAAGGUGCUGGGCUUCCAGUUACGCCUCCUAUUAUCCCAGAGGACUCACCUCAGUGUCACUUCUUUAGGGAAUCCAACAGAGUUCUGGCUGGGGUGGGACCAGAACCUGGGAAAUGUCUAAUAUGGGUCCGGGUGGUACCAGCCCUGAAGAAUUCACCGCUCUACACCUGGCCACCAGCCGAUCAUGCACUUCCGGUCCCAGUGAGGUGCAUUUUCAGGCCUUGGCCAGCAGGGGGAGCCCCAGCAAGGCCCUGUCACUAGCCUCCUGGUCAGGGUGGAAUUUAGUGGCUGUCCUUGGAGCCACCCUAGUCUAGUAAGGGGCAUGGGGGCUUGGCCUUGGUUCCUUGCUACAUCUUGGAGGCUGUAAGCUGAGUCUGGGGGUUGGGUUCAAAGGUCCCUCACACCUACCUGUCCUUUGGUCACUAGAGGGGGUGGAGAGGCUGCCCUGGGGAUAGAGACUGAAGACUUUGAGAAGGAAGGGGCAGGGCUGAAUCUUUGAGCCAAGGGUUGGGUUUCUGCUCACCCUGAGGAUGGGCAAGUCGACUUGAGGACUUUGAGCCACAGCCUGGCCAUGUCCUUGGGGGAGGUUCUGCUCCCCAAAUGGGCUUCUCCACCAGGGCUGGUCUGUGUCCAGUGAUCCUGGGCCAGACCUGAAUGCCAGCCUUCAGAUACAGGGAGGACAGCGGCCUGCCAUGGGCUCCUGGGGCAGAGCCCUGGGCACUGGGGCGGGCAGACAUCCUGACCUCAUCCGAUUAACUCCUCCGUAGACCAGGACCAGGACCCACAGGGGGACAUGGCUCAGCAUGGCCACACUGAAGAGUGCUGAGGCCUCGAUGGGGAACAUAUGCUGAAGGCCGUGCAGCCAUGUCCACGGUGAGGGCCUGAAGACGGCAGACCUCAGGGGUUUCAAGUGACAGCUGAGUGCAGGCUAGAGGAGCCGCUGUCCCCUGUCUCCCACCACAGGCUGAGUGACCAGAGACCAGAGCUGGAUCUGGACCCAGCCCUGGGGCAGCUCUGUUCUGCUCUCUUUCCCCCAGACAGAGGAGUUUCUGGAAUGUGGGACUUCCCAUGCUAAUGUGGGGACAGUCGUGGACAGACCUGGAACUCUGGUCAACCUCCUCUCCCAGAGCCCUGGAGGCCCCCACUGGCCUGAGGCCUGCCCAGCCCAGAGAACAUCUCAGGGAGCCUGGGAGUUGGUUCCCUUGUGGCAGCCCCCCGACAUCUCCAUGAGGACAAGGAGCCCUCUGCUCCAGGAACCCCUGUCCUGGGUCUUAGGUACAGCUGCUCAGCUCAGGGCCACCAGGGCCAGGGCUGCUCCCCCCCGCCACUGGCUUUUUUUGGUAGUUGUACAUAGACAGAAUGCCUUUACUUGUCGAUUUAUAUGUGGUGCUAAGGAUUGAACCCAGUGCUUCACGUGUGUAGGCAAGUGCUCUGCCACUGAGCCCCAGCCUCAGCCCCCUCUGGCUUUUGAACACUCCAAGACAGCCUGAGACAUGACCCUGGCCUCUAGCCCUGCCCAAGGUGCAAGAGCGCUGCACCUCUGAAGGCGUCUGUGCCCUUGUCCCCUUGCCUGGAACUUUCCUCUUGCCUGCUGGGGUCAGCCCAAGUGGUCCCUGAACAUCCUCCUGGUCCCUUGUCAUAUUAGGCAGCUGGCUCCCUCUGCUCCCUCUGGCCAUCACAGAAGCCCUGGAGGGCACAGUUGCCCCUGGGGCCCCUGAGAGAUGCUUGCUGAGUGGAUGGAUAGAGAUAGGAGCCAAGUCCCUAAGACCAGGCCCAUUGGACAUGCGCAGACAAGGGGCUGCUGUAGCCACCCAGAACCAGGCCUGGCACAGCCCAGGA